UUCUUGUUGAUCCUGCCGGAGGUUACUGCUAUUGGAAUCCGAUUAAGCCAUGCGAGUCGAUCGGGUCAGACCCGAGGCGCACUGCUCAGUAACACGUGGAGAAUCUGCCCUUAGGUGAGGAAUAACCUCGGGAAACUGAGAAUAAUACCUCAUAGGUUAUGGAUGCUGGAAUGCUUCAUAGCCCAAAGCCCCGGCGCCUAAGGAUGACUCUGCGGACUAUCAGGUAGUAGUCAGGGUAAGGACCUGACUAGCCUACGAGGGAUACGGGGUGUGAGAGCACUAGCCCGGAGAUGGAUUCUGAGACACAAAUCCAGGCCCUACGGGGUGCAGCAGGCGCGAAACUUCCGCAAUGCUCGCCAGAGUGACGGAGGGAUUCCAAGUGCCUAUGCUAUGCGUAGGC
rnacentral:rRNA from 1 species